rnacentral:rRNA from 1 species
UACGUAGGGCGCAAGCGUUGUCCGGAAUUAUUGGGCGUAAAGAGCUCGUAGGUGGCUUGUCACGUCGGGUGUGAAAGCUUGGGGCUUAACUCCAGGUCUGCAUUCGAUACGGGCUGGCUAGAGGUAGGUAGGGGGAGAACGGAAUUCCUGGUGUAGCGGUGAAAUGCGCAGAUAUCAGGAGGAACACCGGUGGCGAAGGCGGUUCUCUGGGCCUUACCUGACGCUGAGGAGCGAAAGCGUGGGGGAGCGAACAGG